UACGGAGGAUCCAAGCGUUAUCCGGAUUUAUUGGGUUUAAAGGGUGCGUAGGCGGUUAAUUAAGUCAGUGGUGAAAUCCUGGAGCUCAACUUCAGAACUGCCAUUGAUACUGGUUGACUUGAGUACAGACGAGGUUGGCGGAAUUGAUGGUGUAGCGGUGAAAUGCAUAGAUACCAUCAAGAACACCGAUUGCGAAGGCAGCUAACUAGGCUGUAACUGACGCUGAGGCACGAAAGUGUGGGGAUCAAACAGG
rnacentral:rRNA from 1 species